rnacentral:rRNA from 1 species
GAUGAACGCUGGCGGUAUGCCUUACACAUGCAAGUCGUACGAGAGUUUUUAACUCAAGUGGCGGACGGGUGAGUAACACGUAAGAAUUUGCCUUUAGGAGGGGGAUAACAACUGGAAACGGUUGCUAAUACCCCAUAUGCUUUCGAGUGAAAUGGAUUUUUCCGCCUAGAGAGAAGCUUGCGGCUGAUUAGCUUGUUGGUGAGGUAAUGGCUCACCAAGGCGACGAUCAGUAUCUGGUUUGAGAGGACGAUCAGACACACUGGAACUGAGACACGGUCCAGACUCCUACGGGAGGCAGCAGUGGGGAAUUUUCCGCAAUGGGCGAAAGCCUGACGGAGCAAUACCGCGUGAGGGAUGACGGCCUAUGGGUUGUAAACCUCUUUUUUCAGGGAGGAAUCAAUGACGUGUACCUGAAGAAUAAGCAUCGGUUAACUCCGUGCCAGCAGCCGCGGCAAGACGGAGGAUGCAAGUGUUAUCCGGAAUCACUGGGCGUAAAGCGUCUGUAGGUGGUCCAAUAAGUCAACUGUUAAAUCUUGAGGCUCAACUUCAAAAUCGCAGUCGAAACUA